rnacentral:rRNA from 1 species
UACGGGGGGUGCGAGCGUUGUCCGGAAUCACUGGGCGUAAAGGGCGCGUAGGUGGUCUGAUAAGGGUGUGGUGAAAGCCCGGGGCUCAACCCCGGGUCGGCCGUGCCGACUGUUAGACUAGAGUGCUGUAGGGGCAGGCGGAAUUCCGGGUGUAGCGGUGGAAUGCGUAGAUAUCGGGAGGAACACCAGUGGCGAAGGCGACUACCUGGCCUGUUUCUUGACGCUGAGGCGCGAAAGCUAGGGGAGCAACGGG